GGCAGGAUAGAGAAGAGGGGAUAUGCAGAGUUUGGCAGACAUCAAAGAGGUAGAGCAACUUGCCUGCAGUGGAGGACAGAAGCUAGCCAUGUUGGUAACCUGUAAUCUCAUCUUUCAAGAGGAUGAGGCAAAAGGAUCACCAGCUUGAGGCCAGCUCAAGCCUCACGGGCAUGAAAGCACCAAGUCCAGUGCAUUUUCCCAAUGGGGAAAGCAGUGGGCUGUGUGUCAUCCUGCUGACUGGGGUGGCAGAGACAGACCUGAGAAGACAGGAGAGUCUGAGACCUGACAAAUGUAAAGGCUUCCGUGAAAAUCAGCUGACAGACACCAAAUUUGUCUUUUUUUCAUCUGUUUAUUUGUAUAUCUAUCCACAACACAUGGAGGUCUCAGGGUGGCAAAGAUCUUCGAUCCUCGUGGCACUCGGAGGUAAAGGCAGUCCUUUGCCCGUGAUGAGUACUAAAGAAAAUAUUAACAGAGCAGACAGCUGCAGCUACUGGCUGUAAAGUGGAUAAGAUUGCUCAUUUUCCCUCCUAGGUCUCCACCUCAACAAAUGUGGAUAUCAUUGCUGGCUUGAGGGGUCUGAGAACAGGUAUGGGUCUGGGUGAAGACCUCCUGUUCCUGGAUGUGGAAAUCCUGGCCUUUGGUGCGAUAGGAAAUGCUAAUUCUAGACCAAUUAAAAGAGCCUGGUCUCUCUUCUGA